UACGCAGGGGGCAAGCGUUGUCCGGAUUUAUUGGGCGUAAAGAGCGUGUAGGCGGCCAAGCAGGUCCGCUGUGAAAACUCGAGGCUCAACCUCGAGACGUCGGUGGAAACCGUUUGGCUAGAGUCCGGAAGAGGAGAGUGGAAUUCCCGGUGUAGCGGUGAAAUGCGCAGAUAUCGGGAAGAACACCCGUGGCGAAGGCGGCUCUCUGGGACGGUACUGACGCUGAGACGCGAAAGCGUGGGGAGCGAACAGG
rnacentral:rRNA from 1 species